GGGCGCGUAGCUCAGCGGGAGAGCACCGUCUUCACACGGCGGGGGUCACUGGUUCAAAUCCAGUCGCGCCCACCA
rnacentral:tRNA from 1 species